rnacentral:rRNA from 1 species
UACGAGAGGCCCAAACGUUAUUCGGAAUUACUGGGCUUAAAGAGUUCGUAGGCGGCAUGAAAAGUAGGGUGUGAAAGCCCUCGGCUUAACCGAGGAAUUGCGCCCAAAACUACUGUGCUCGAGGGAGGUAGAGGUGAGCGGAACUUAGGGUGGAGCGGUGAAAUGCGUUGAUAUCCUAAGGAACACCGGUGGCGAAAGCGGCUCACUGGACCUCUUCUGACGCUGAGGCACGAAAGCUAGGGUAGCAAACGGG